rnacentral:rRNA from 1 species
AUGCACUGGUUUGCCUGGUGGAAGCUUUGUGUUCCAAAAGAGAUAGGAGGAAUGGGGUUCAGAGAUCCUCACUGUUUUAAUUUGGCUAUGUUAGCUAAACAAAUAUGAAGAUUAAUGGAGGCUCCAGAUAGCUUAUGCGCAAGAGUUUUGAGAAGUAAGUACUAUCCUGAUGGCAAGAUUCUUAAUGCUAAACUUAAAUCAGGCUCAUCUUUUACUUGGCAGGGUAUAUUGUCAGGGCUCAAUACAUUUAACAAGGGAGCUAUCUGGCGUGUCGGAGAUGGCCAGCAAAUUGAUAUUUGGGAGGAUGCAUGGCUACCGUGUAGUAAUAACGGAAGGAUUUUGACGCCCAAAGGUCACUGUUUGCUAAAACAUGUCCAUGAAUUGAUUGAUCCUAGUUGAGGAGUAUGGGAUGCUUGACUUAUUUUGUCCAUUUUUUGGGAUGUUGAUGCAAGACAAAUCCUAGCAAUUCCGUUGAGUCAAAAUGGAAUGGGUGAUUUUGUGGCAUGGAAAUUCAGUAAGAAUGGUUUCUUUUCAGUUCGUUCUACAUACCACAUGGAGUGGGAAUCUCAAUUUGGUGUCUCCCUGCAAAGAUCUGAUGGAACGGGAUGUUCAGGUUUGAACACGGUUUGGAGAGAUCUUUGGAAGUGCACUGUACCAGCAAAAGUGAAAUUUUGUACUUGGAAAUGUUUGCAUGGGAUUCUUCCCUAUUAUGAUGUUCUGGUUAAUCGCCACAUAAUGAACAACAGUAUGUGUCCGGUUUGUAAGAGAUAUUGUGAAGACAUAAAACAUGUUAUUUUUCGGUGUGGGGAAGCAAAAGGUAUUUGGCGGAAAAUUGGCUUGAUGCAGGUGGUUACUGAAGCAUGUGAGAUAGAUUGGUCAGGUAGUGUAGUGCUUGAUUAUCUGAUGGCUGGAAAGUUCAGGGUCCUAGUUGAUGCAUCAGUAAAGUUUUUAAGAGAAACAAUCAUAACGGCUUCUUGGUAUAUUUGGUGGAGACGAAGACAGGUAGUCCAUGCAGAAACCAUGCAAUCUUUAUCACAAGCAGCGAUGUCAAUUCAAGUAUUGGUAUCUAGUUUCGCAAAAGCACAAGGGAAAAAGAUUCAGCCAAGAUCAAGUACUUGGCAUAGGGCGUCUGAGGGCUUCAUCUCUGUAAAUGUUGAUGCUAAAUACGAUAUUAAUAUAAGGUAA